UACAGAGGUCUCAAGCGUUGUUCGGAUUCAUUGGGCGUAAAGGGUGCGUAGGUGGCGCGCUAAGUCAGGUGUGAAAUUUCGGAGCUUAACUCCGAAACUGCAUUUGAUACUGGCGUGCUUGAGGACUGGAGAGGAGACUGGAAUUCAUGGUGUAGCAGUGAAAUGCGUAGAGAUCAUGAGGAAGACCAGUGGCGAAGGCGGGUCUCUGGACAGUUCCUGACGCUGAGGCGCGAAGGCUAGGGGAGCAAACGGG
rnacentral:rRNA from 1 species